rnacentral:rRNA from 1 species
UACGUUGGGUGCGAGCGUUGUCCGGAAUUAUUGGGCGUAAAGAGCGUGUAGGCGGUUCGGUAAGUCUGCCGUGAAAACCUGGGGCUCAACCCCAGGCGUGCGGUGGAUACUGCCGGGCUAGAGGGUGGUAGAGGCGAGUGGAAUUCCCGGUGUAGCGGUGAAAUGCGUAGAUAUCUGGAGGAACACCGGUGGCGAAGGCGGCAUCCUGGACCGGUAUUGACGCUGAGGCGCGAAAGCCAGGGGAGCAAACGGG